UACGAAGGGGGCUAGCGUUGCUCGGAAUCACUGGGCGUAAAGGGUGCGUAGGCGGCCAACUAAGUCGGAUGUGAAAUCCCCAGGCUCAACCUGGGAACUGCAUCCGAUACUGGAUGGCUUGAAUUCGGGAGAGGGAUGCAGGAAUUCCAGGUGUAGCGGUGAAAUGCGUAGAUAUCUGGAGGAAUACCGGUGGCGAAGGCGGCAUCCUGGACCGACAUUGACGCUGAUGAGCGAAAGCUAGGGGAGCAA
rnacentral:rRNA from 1 species